AUGUGUCCCGUGGCUGGGAUGGCUUUAGGGUCAUGGUGUGGCACUCCUGGAUUGUCCCCACAGUGUCAGGACAGGCACCUACAUCUAGGACACCUCUGGGACAGGGGGACUUGUGAAGAGAAAUGGGAUGAAGUUCUCAAAAUGAACCAACACAAAAACACAGAUUUGAAAACAGGGGCCAGAGCCACCUUCUGUUGUUUGCUUGCAACUUCUCCCAUCAUUGGGUCUGAAACAGCAUCUCCUCUUGUGCCAGUGGAGCCCUCGGGCUGUCCAUGUGGCCACGGGGCACAGGAGCAUCAGCCUGCACUGGCAGGAGAGGCUCAGCUGGGCUCCCAGCAUCAGCCCUUCAGUGGCAGCUCCAGUUUCCCCCUACCCUACACUGUCCCCAGCCUGGUGUCCCCAGCCCUCUGUGUCCUCACCUUCCCCAGCACGGGGCUCAGGCCAUGGGGAUGUUUCAUUCCAGACCCUUCCCCAAGGAGCCAGGGAUCCUCCUGUCCCCCAGCCCUGCUCCCUCCCUGGCCUGGGAUGUUUCUGCAGGGAGAAGGGCCUUUCCCUGCUGCUCUGGCAGCACUGAGAGCUCCAAGGAGUCCCUGGACAGAACCCCUCCCCUCCAUGUGGCUGUCACUGCACAGGGCAGGGACACUGAGGCACAGACUGAGGGCUCGUGGCUGUAAUUCACGGCUGCCCCGGGUACCAGAGGGGACAGGUUCUGCUGGCCCUACCCUGCCUCUCCCUGGCCUGGCUCUGCAGCUGAGGCAGGAGGAGCCCAGCUCACCCAGGGCUCAGCUGGGUCACUUUAACCACAAACAGGUUUCACCUGGAGCAGGCAGUCUGGGGGCAGGUCCACAACCACCCCUGCAGUUCCUUCAGGGUGUGUUUAUAAACCCACACCCCCUCACCCCAGGAGCUUUCUCUCUCUUUCUUUCCUUUUUUUUUUUAAUUUUCUUUUUCUUUCUUUUUCUUUCUUUUUUUUUCUUCUUUUUUUUCUUUUUUUUUUUUUUUUUUUUUUUUUUUUUUUUUUUUUUUUUUUUUUUUUGCCUUUGUUCUUUGGGAGCCUUAGUUUGGAGCUGA
rnacentral:lncRNA from 1 species